rnacentral:rRNA from 1 species
AAACCAACCGGGAUUGCCUUAGUAACGGCGAGUGAAGCGGCAAAAGCUCAAAUUUGAAAUCUGGUACCUUCGGUGCCCGAGUUGUAAUUUGGAGAGGGCAACUUUGGGGCCGUUCCUUGUCUAUGUUCCUUGGAACAGGACGUCAUAGAGGGUGAGAAUCCCGUGUGGCGAGGAGUGCGGUUCUUUGUAAAGUGCCUUCGAAGAGUCGAGUUGUUUUGGAAUGCAGCUCUAAGUGGGUGGUAAAUUCCAUCUAAAGCUAAAUAUUGGCGAGAGACCGAUAGCGAACAAGUACAGUGAUGGAAAGAUGAAAAGAACUUUGAAAAGAGAGUGAAAAAGUACGUGAAAUUGUUGAAAGGGAAGGGCAUUUGAUCAGAUAUGGUGUUUUGUGCCCUCUGCUCCUUGUGGGUAGGGGAAUCUCGCAUUUCACUGGGCCAGCAUCAGUUUUGGUGGCAGGAUAAAUCCAUAGGAAUGUAGCUUGCCUCGGUAAGUAUUAUAGCCUGUGGGAAUACUGCCAGCUGGUACUGAGGACUGCGACGUAAGUCAAGGAUGCUGGCAUAAUGGUUAUAUGCCGC